AGAGAUGGAUUGGUGCCUUCGGGAACUGUGAGACAGGUGCUGCAUGGCUGUCGUCAGCUCGUGUUGUGAAAUGUUGGGUUAAGUCCCGCAACGAGCGCAACCCUUAUCCUUUGUUGCCAGCGGUUCGGCCGGGAACUCAAAGGAGACUGCCAGUGAUAAACUGGAGGAAGGUGGGGAUGACGUCAAGUCAUCAUGGCCCUUACGACCAGGGCUACACACGUGCUACAAUGGCAUAUACAAAGAGAAGCG
rnacentral:rRNA from 1 species